ACACUUGAAAAAUGAAACUCCCCCUGAAACUGAAAUGGGCUUUUCGCCCUUGAAAUCGAAUGUGCCUCGAUGGGACUGCACAUCCAGACGAGAGCUCGAAUUGAAACGCAGUGGAGAAUAAUUGAAACCGGGUCGGACCUACUCUGAUAACAUAUUAGAAAUGGAAAAGGUAGAGGUGAAAUGGGUAAUAGGUAAGAGCCCAUUAUGUGAAAAUGUAGAUGUGGGCUUACUUGGGCUUGGGUCAACCAAAGUUAAAAAUUUAGUACUAACCAAUUAGCUAGCUAGCUUGCUACCCUUAUAUGCCCAUUAUGGAUUUAUUAUUUAGUCGAUGUGGUAUUCUUAACAAUUUGGUAGCAAUCUUAGUAGUAUUUAAUGAUGGAUUUUAGAAAAUGAGAGAAUCAUGAGAAGGGUAGCAGCAAACUUGAUUAAUUGUUCAAAAUUUUGCAAUGAUAAGAAGAAAAGAUGUUGUAUAUUGAAAUUUUGAUAAGCCAUAAAUGAGCAAUGAACGGAUCAAUGUAUUCCUACAAGUUUUGGUAAGGAGAUUAUUGUUUUCUUAUUAUGACAAGAGUUAUACUGUUAAUUUUCAUGAGUUUGGCAGUACUUAGAUUUGAAAGGAAGGUUGUAUAUUUAUCAUAAAUAGGAAAUGAAUUAAUUUGCAUAUGGAAAACGAGUUUUAAUUAGAUAAUAGUAGUUCCUUUUGAUUGACGGUUGAAACUAUUGAAUACAAGUUAAGGUCGAAUCAAUUUCCCAGUCCCAUAUUAGUUAAAGGAGAAUUUCUGCAGUUAAGGCCUAUGAUGGAUAAAUAACAAGUUAAGAAGUUAAUAAGCGGGAUUUGGAAGCAGGAGAUGUCGAGUCCUAGCUAUGUUUAACUCUCCUUUGCGGAUUGCAUGAUCUUCCUUUUCCCAAUUCUCUAUAACCUAACUGAACUUCGAGGACGAAUUUUCGUAAGAGGGGGAGGGGGAGACCGAGACAACCCUGAAUUUCAAUUUUCAAAGUUUUUCAUUUAAAAUUUUAAUUAUUAAUUUUAAGCCUAUGAUAUUAUAGAACAUUGUUUUAUUUAAAUUAAACAUAUUAAAACCUUGUGAAUUUAUUUAAUAAAAUUCAAUACAAAUACAUUUUGUAUAGCUAAACUAAAUCUAAAAAUUAAAUUAAACCCAUUAGAAAUCCCUAAACCAAUUGAAAAAACCAAGUAAAAACCUAUGAUUUGGCCAAACCAAACCCUAAUCAACUCGAACCAACCCCAACCAACUAGAAAACUAUAUGUUGGAAAUUCUCAUUUUGUCCUAAAACUAUCUUCUCCCUUCUUCCUAAUCGGGCAUAGCCUGCCCUCUCCCCUCAUAUUUUUUGAACUUUGGCUUGUGUCCGGCCAGCAACAACCUCCUCCCUGCCACUGUUGCCUCACCGUUGUUCCUCCCCCUCCAUUUCUUUUUUCGACUGGCACAUUGAUGGAGUGUGAGCUGCCUUUGUUUUUCCGAUCAGAGCAGCUCCACCUCAGCCCCUUUUUCCUUGACUUUUCUGGCGACGCUAGCCAAAACCGACCAACCUACUUUGUCUCUAGCAUCUCACACCACUGUUCUUCCAUCUCCGGUUACUAGAGCUCGCGAUUUAGCGAGAAAAAAGAGGAACAGCAAAGCUGUGGUUCCAUUUUCUCAACUGGCACAACCUCCGCCAAUAUUUUAUUUUGAUUUUUCGAUGAGACCAGCCAAGGACGGGCCGUUUAGACUCUUCCAUCGUCUCUAACAGCUUUGCCGGCCAUGGUCCUCAUCAGUUCUGCAUGUUAACGCCGACAGAAUCGGAUUUUGAAUAUUGGAGUUGUUUUCGAUCAUUUUAACCGGAAAUAUUUAGUUUUUCCAACCUUUUUUGUCACUGGCAUUUUGGGUGGCUUAGAAGGAAAAGAAGAAGAGGAAGAGAGACGAGGGUAAUGGUUAUAUCAACACCAACAACAUCAUUAUCCUCAUCAAAAAAUUGUAGCUAAUAAAAAAUACAGUACUGGAAUCUAAAUGGUCACCAUUAUUAUCAAGCAUCAUAAAAUUCACAGUUUUGAAGAGAGAAAUUUUUGUAUGCCUUAAUAUCAAUUUCUUUAUCUGAGUUAGCGGCGAUGAUGGCGGCGGCGAAGGGGGUUAUAAAUAGAAAAAGGUAGGUGUAGAGUACAGAGCAAACGAGGGACAGUUGUUAGGGUUUGGGUUUAGUGGGAUUAUUUUCAAGAUUAGACUUCGAUUUGUGGUGUGUUUUUAAUUAGUUAAAGCCACUGGGCCACGUAGUUUCAACCAAAUAUUUUGUACAAUUGGCAUUUUUUCUUACGUGGAUUGUGGAUUAUAAUUUACGCACUGUGCAUUUCA